CUCACAUGGGCCUUCACUCAUGCACCUCCACCUGUUGGCCUUCAAGCUGCAUUUAAGCAGCUGGGGAGAAAGCUCUUGCUGGCAGGCUCUAUUUGCAGGCAGUGCUUGAGCUGAUACUAGAAAGCCACUAUUGGGUCUCUGCAGAGCCUUCUCUUCCCCAGGCUGAACAGCCCCAACUCUGUCAGCCUGUCCUUGCAGGAGAAGUGCUCCAUCCCUUGGAUUGCUUUUGUGGUCCUCCUCUGGACGUUCCAUGUCUCUCCUGUGCUGAGGACUCGACAUCUGGACACAGUACUCCAGGUGAGAGAGGAAGCUGCCUUUGAGUGGAUGUAGUGGCUCACUUAGUGCUGAUUUCUAGUUGCUUGUUAGAAUACGGACGUUUUGCUAGGCAGGAAAUGUUUGUGUCAACACUGUAAAUCUCCAGCUGCUGCCUGGUAGCUCAGCACUUAUGCAAGAUACUUGUGCUGAAUCCUCCAAACUAACUUCAGAGUCCUGUAUUUCCUAGUGUCGGCUUCCAGAUUUCAUCCUACAGUCCUUCUCCCUAGUAGAAGUAGAAUUUGUAAUUCCUAUUAUAAGGCAAGUUUCUUUAUUAAAAGCUCAGCUGAUAAGAUAUGACUUCAAAAUUAAAUACAUGUAGGCAUUUUGUUUUCAAAUUUAUUUGUGAUGCUGGCUUUUAGCGAAUAUAUAUUCAUGGCAACAUUUGAUGUCAGGGUGGAAAAGUACUACCCAUGGUAAUUAUUGUGAGAACUCAGAGCUGCAGUUCAAUGUGAGGAUCAAAAGUAAUUUAGGCAUCAGAAGGUGAAAAGGAGUUCAACUGCAGGACAAAGUCCACCUGUACAUGGAGCAAGUCAUAAGACUCAGUGCCUUUUGUCUGGUGAGAAAUUAUAAAAUAGCACUUGCAUGCUAAGCUGAUCCAUUGGCAGGUGGGCAGCAACAUGCAGCCUGUGCUAUGAGUGUGAGGGUCUUGUACAAGCUACUAGUACCUAGGCCCAGAUAAGGGUAGUAAGGGGGAAAGGAAAGUGAAUGGUGACAAGUAUUAAAGGACAUCAAUUUCACUUUGACUGGCAUCCCCAUGCUGCUUAGAAGAUACUGAGCUUAGCAGAAAGGCAGCGAAAUAGACUGGCAAGAAGUUAUUAGAGGUGCUAUUUGAGAAUUCCUGUAGGUAAACUGUGCUUGGGGUCCUUAAAAUAAUAGCUGAGAUUAUGUAACUGUAUUUAGUUUCUUACUAAUCUGUAGCAACAUUGCUGCCUAGUGAUAGCAUUUCUAUAGAAUGGAAGUGCAACUGUAAUUUCCUUGAACAGCUUUCCUUUAGUUGUGUCUAAUGAUACUUAAUUUUUUUCCAACUGAAAUUUCUGUUAUUGCUUACAGCAGCUCACCUCAGAGGGGAGUGAGCAUUACUGUAAACAGUGCUCCAGGCAGCAACUAACAUUUAAAGCAAUCCAGCUCAAACUAGGGCUCUGUGACCUCCUAUGUAAAACACCAGCAGCUGUCAGCACCCUGUUUACUCCAGCACUUCUGCUGCUGCUUCUGACUGAACUACUGCUUUGGUUUGUACUUAAAAUAAUCAGAACAGGCAUUAGGGAAUAACUGUUACAGCAUAAGCCCAGAGCUAUUACAAGCCUAGAUUCUCACCAAGAGUCAUUUUAGAAUGUACAAGUGUAGUAAAUUUCCACUUGUAUGCAAGCUUGUGGUAUGGGUAGGUAGCUCAAGCAAAAGCUUCCUGAUGUAGACAUGCUCUGCAGCAUUCUUGUUGCUUGGAAUCAACUCACUUGGGAAAAUUUCCUUAAAUAAUGAUGAAUACUGACAACCUACUACUGAGAAGAACAGAAGCUGAAGUAACAAGGAACUUCUACAUAUUUAUUGACUGUACAUUUGUGUGUCCUUACUGCAAUCUGCAUAUGAUUGUCUGGUUUUGAAGCAGGCCGUUGAUAUGAGGCUCAGAUUGUGGAAGAAUAAGUGAAAUAAUGUGAUACUGAACCAGUAGACCUGAUGAGGGUGUCAGAAGUGACAGGCAGUGUUUGUAAAUGAGGUGUCCCAGAAAUUGGUUAUUACAGGGGAAGCAAAGUCUCUGUUCUGAACCCUGUGUUUGGGGGUAGAAUUGAGGAACUGCCUUAUUGGCAGUUGCUGUGUCUGUAUUAACCUUAUCUGUUAAAACCUGUGAAGGAUAAUACACAAAACAGCUUUUUCUCAGUUUUUAUUCUGUUUUAAAUGGGCUUUUUAGGAUAAUAUAAAUAAUUGUGAUAUCUACCAAUUUAUUCAUGUUCUUUCUUGGGCACUUGGGACAACUUGCUGUCUGAUGGGUGUGGUAUAAUACAUCAGUUAUGUGUGAGAUGCUGAUAAGCACUGGACAGUGGAGACCUGUGCCUGAAUGCUGUCUUCCAGAUGUUUCUUCAGUGGAAGGACUUGAAGCUUUUGUGUAAAAUAUGUGGACAAAAUAGAACAAACAUUAGUGUGUCUAGUACACCUGGGCAAUGCCAAGGGAUGCUGGAAUUUUUCCUUUCUUGUAGGUGUAAAAAGGUUGGGGGAAAAAAAGUAACUUAGUUUGGAUCAAGUUGAAUGAUGUAGUGGUGAGGGAAUGAAUACUUGCUGGAAAACUGUGCAGCCAAAGGUAGGACCUGCAGAUAUGGAAGAGUACUGGGUGCUAAUUUGUCUGAGGGUCUUAAUCAGUUGUAAGGCAAGUAAGAAAAAUUAGGUAAGCUUGUCUGAAAAUGAAGGGAGUGCAUGGGACGUGUGUCUGUAGGUGAUCAGAGCCUAGGAGAGUCAGUGAGGGAAGAAACACAGAAACAAGGAAAGAGGGUGUUUUUGUUGGUGUUCACCAUGGCAUGGCCUCCCAUACAGUGGGACUGUAGCACUUGCAAUUUCUCCUUGACAAAACUGACUAUCCUCUGCUCCACUCUUGGUUCUUCAGCCGUGCGCUUGGGCCUGUGUUGCCACAUCCUCUUUCUCCUGCUUAGAGAAACGGCUUGUGUCAGGCAUACUGCAGCCACUCCAUGACCACCAGUUUUUUUGGUAACUCUUGGACUAAUCCAGCAUUAAUAUCACUUUAGCAUGCUGAAUGCUUUUCCUUAGAAAUAAUUCUCACACUUUUUCUUGAAUUGUUCGCUUGCUUACAUGCAUUCAUCUCCUCUUGAGAGAAGGUGGCAUACCAUCUAUGUUCUUCAGUUUUUCUAUGAAGUAUUUAGAAAUUCUAGCAGCAGUGAUGCAAGGAAUGUACUUAGACCUGGAAGAGUUGUUGUUCCACUGUGGCUCAGACAAACCUCACUCUCUGAGACUUGACAAGUAAUUCCAAAACACAAGUAGUAUAUCAGUCAGAUUUCCAACUGGAAAAUGCUUGACUUCAGAAUUUAAGCCAUUUGUUUCAAUAAACAUGGGCUCAUUUGCAACCAAAGCCUUAAGACUUCAAGUGUAGAUCAGGCUGAGUCCAACAGUGGGACUUUGCUCUAUACUUGGUGAGAAAGCCAUUUGCUCCUUCAGAAGGUUUUACUGUCCCCCAGACACAGUUUUCUUUAAUGUUACUUGCAAUUCUUGUAGCAAAACAGAUGGUCUGUAUUGCUUUUCUGUGUUUCUUGGCUUGGAAAUGUUCACUGUAAACAACUUAAGGGAUUCUUCCUUAUUGCUAAAGCAGGUUGUACUUCAGCAGUAAGUUCAGUUUCUGGACUCAAAUAUAAAUCUAUGUAUAUUCUCUGCACCAAGCAAAACAAAUUUGUAAUAGGCACUUAAACCCCAUGAUUAGCCUUCAAAAUCUCUUGCAAAACAUGCUGCCUGAGUUAGUCAUCCAGCGAAGCAACAGUAAUUUGAGAGUGGAGAAGCUUAUUUAAAUACUCUGAAAAUAUCAGAGGGCGUGACACUGACAAUGAGCUGGGAUUGCUUGUCCCACCCUGUCUCCUUCAAGGCUCAGUGUCCCAGUCAAGUGCUGUGCUCAGCGAGCUUCCAGAGAGCCAUAGCUGUUAUGUUUAAGAGACACACUCCAGAGGGAUCUUCAGAGGGGAUACAGGUGGCUCAGAAAUCACCUCCUUUUCACUGAUGGCAUAUGCUACCAGAGAACAGUCUGUUCUGGAGUAAAUUCUGUAGAAGUCUGGGCAUCCCUGCGGAGAGAAGGAGAGGCUCAGCCCAUUGACUAGUCCCAGAAAUCAGCUUUGUCCUCAUUUGUCUGCAAAGGACAGUUUCUGAAGCUGGGUUCCGGCUCCUGACUGGAGGUGCAAACCCGUAAAUUCCUCACAAGGCUUCUGGCAAGGAUGGUGUGGCAAGGAUGGCACAUGGACAAGGCGGCAUGGUCCAUGAGGACACUUACAUAAUUUGCUGGUCUUAUAACUAAAAUGUGGUGUGUUCCGUUGUUUCUCCCAGAUGCUUUCCUAAAGGAAGAGUUGUUUGGAGAGAUUGUCUCUUGUGCCUUCUUUUUUUUUACAGUGAUGAAUAUUGUUCUGUAGCAGCAGCUAUGCAGAAUACAUGCUUAUUCUACCCUUUAAAAUAAUUUAUAGAUCAAUACAGACUGUUAAAAACAGAUUGGAAAGCAAUCAUGUAUAACAGACUGACUUUAAACCAAUGGCCACAAUGAAAAAGCUUUGUUAUUUAAGUCUUAUUUUCCUGACACUUUAUGGAAUGGCAUCAGUAAGUUGGAGGUGGAAGUCUGUUUCCUAUUACUGAACCACUGAGCCAGCUAGUCUCUUGACCUUACUUGGAUUUGCACCAGUGGCAUAGAAAUAAAUUGUUCUGAAUUCCAAUAAUGAUUCAUUAAGCCAAUACUUCAUGACUUCAGCUGGAUCUAUACCAAUGCCAUACAAUCAAAUAGCUGUGUCCCACUGCUGAUACAACUAGUAAAAUCUAAAUAAAAAUAAUAAGAGUUAAGAAAAUAAAUUUAUGGAGCCACCAUGAAAACAACAUCAACCCCAAACCAAACACAACAAAACCUGAAACCAUAGAUGGUUUAUGGAAACCAUAGAUUGGUCUGACAAUAAAAUUGUAGAAAUAUUAACAGCUAUUCUAACUAUUGACUGUCCUGUUCUGAUAACUAUCAGUGAGUUGGUAAAACAUCCUUCCUCACAUUGUGAUCAAAAGAACAAAAUGGCAUCUUCCUUUAAUCACACUGGUCUGUUUUUUCUUCAUCAAGAUUCUAAACAUAAAGUUUGUCUUGUACAUCCAAAUUGUUUCACCCAAAUGAGUCACUGAAAUAUACUACAGCUAGUAUUUAUGGUUGAUAAGAAAGCCUACUGUGUCAGCUAGUAGACAUGGAACAAACAUGGCUGAAAUAGAUAGCUUGAUUAAAGGGCAAUCCUUUAUUAAUGGACAGAUAUUGAUAAUUAACAACUGACAGACACAGCAAUGUAAAACAUUUCCUGAGAGGUUAGCAAACUGAGCCAUAAUUUAUGCUGGCAUGACCAGGGCAAAAUACGACUCCCAGCUGCAUAUUGACUUUGAUGACAAAAAGUUGCUUUUCUCUAGACAGUCAACAUGAACUCUGGUAUGGACUGCCAGAAACAUUUCCCAGAAUGUCUGCCUGUAGCAAAAAGACUUUCUCACACAAACUUGUUUGCCAUUCUGAUGAAAACUUGAUGGCAGAAAACCACCCUUUUACAAUCUUCUCUUGAGCUACUAUGGAUCUGCCUUUAUAUUAAGUCUAAUUUACUUUCAUAUCCCAACAUUAAAAUCCCCUUGUAUUGAUUUCUGCCUCUUCUUGGCUUAGUCUUUUAAAAUGUUGUAAGCUUACACUAUUUC